rnacentral:rRNA from 1 species
AGUGAACGCUGGCGGUAGGCCUAACACAUGCAAGUCGAACGGCAGCACAGUAAGAGCUUGCUCUUACGGGUGGCGAGUGGCGGACGGGUGAGGAAUACAUCGGAAUCUACUUUUUCGUGGGGGAUAACGUAGGGAAACUUACGCUAAUACCGCAUACGACCUACGGGUGAAAGCAGGGGAUCUUCGGACCUUGCGCGAUUGAAUGAGCCGAUGUCGGAUUAGCUAGUUGGCGGGGUAAAGGCCCACCAAGGCGACGAUCCGUAGCUGGUCUGAGAGGAUGAUCAGCCACACUGGAACUAGGAACCGGUCCAGACCCCUACGGGAGGCAGAAGGGGGAAAUUUUGGAAAAUGGGCGAAAGCCUGUUCCAGCCAUCCCGCGUGGGUGAAGAGGGCUUUCGGGUUGUAAAGCCCUUUUGUUGGGAAAAAAAACAAGCAGGUUAAACCCCCGCUGUUCUGACGGUACCAAAAGAUUAAGCACCGGCUAACUUCGU